rnacentral:rRNA from 1 species
UACAGAGGCCCCAAGCAUUAUCCGGAAUCACUGGGCGUAAAGGAUGCGUAGGUGGCGUUGUUAGUCCUUCGUUAAAUACUCUGUGCUUAACAUAGAGAUCGCGAAGGAAACGGCAAUGCUAGAGGAUGUACGAGGCGUGCGGAACUCACGGUGUAGGGAUUAAAUCCGUUGAUAUCGUGGGGAACACCAAAAGCGAAGGCAGCACGCUGGGACACUCCUGACACUGAGGCAUGAAAGCGUAGGUAGCGAACGGG